GCCGGGGGUAGAAGACCUGCAGCGCUGAGCCUGUCAAUUUGCUCUCCUCUUCCCCGCUGCCAAUCCUGGGGGCGUCCUCUGCUGCCCAAGAAGCCGGAUGCCCGUCUCCAGGUGACAUUUUAGGUUAUUGGGUCACAGAUUGCUGGCACACUCAUCCCUGUUCUCAAAUACCUUUUAAACUUGGGUGAAGUGAUAAGUAGGGGAAGAUGAUUUACUGAAAGGAAUUCCCCUUUCACAAAAUUGUAUGUGUUUGUGUCUGAGAGAGAGAAAUGGAGACAGACAGAAAGACGAAGAAGCAGAAGAGAGCUCCCUCAGAAGAGAGCUAGUUAAGCAUCCCAGACUGACGAAGACAGUGGAGAAUGCCUCUGAGUUUGGCACUGAUUGCCUGGAGAAUGCUGAAACCCAGGGAAGUGGGCAGCACAGACGUUUACUCAUUUAAUCCUGCCAACACAGUAGGAGAUAGAGUCUACAUAUUCCUCGCUACUUAAAAGGUAAGGAAAAAGAGGCACAAAUAAUAACAACGACAACAAAAACAACAAUAAUUUGUCCAAGAUUCACACAGAACCCCCUGGAGGCAGAGUGAGAAUUUAUACUCAGGCAGGCUGGCCCCAGAGCCCCUGCUCAUAACUAAUAAGUCAGAUCACCUUGCUUAUGUGGAUCAGUUUUUUUCAACUGUGAUAUGAGGGUACUGUGUCCAGUAACUUAUAAUUUCAAAAUACUUCACUGUAACGGAAUCAUUAGUCACAGGCCUUACAAACCACAGAAACCUACACAUACAAAAAUAACUCGUUAGGUCAAGAUAACCAAUAACGUUUUUAAAUAUUAUACCUGCUGGGCCUUUGCAAUAAAAUGUCUUUUUAUAAUUCUG